rnacentral:lncRNA from 1 species
CUGCGGACCCCCAGGGUCUGCGCUUGGCUUUCCAGAGCCCUCUGUGCCUGAGCCUGCAGCUCUGUACCCGGGACCUGGCCUGCCAGCGGGCGCACCGUCUCUGCAGGAAAGCGAGCACCUGCCCCAGGAGGCCGGAAGCCAGGACCCAGGUGGGUCUCUGCCGCGACGCCAUCCCCAGAGGCCUGGACUGGGUUUGGUGUCCAAGGAGGUGAUUGGCAGGAGGGCCUUAAGUCAUUUGCGCUUGAAACGAGUUGUAUCGCUUACUGUCUGCUAAGGGUUCUGGAAGUUCUAGGCGGAACGGCUGAUCGAGAUCCACACUAGUGUCCCUUGUGACUUGGCUGUUGGUUAGGACGCAGAGUGUAAGCGGGUGUCCCGGUGUGGCGAGCCGGCCUUGAGGUGCGCCCGGGCUGGGACCUGCUCUGCGCUCCGACGUGGUUCUCGUGCUGUGUACUCGGGCACAGUACGGUGUAGACCCGUCUUUGAAGAUGAAGCCAUUUCGAGACCAUUUCCGGUCUCGGGCCCUGAGGCGCGUCGCGAAGCUGCCACCGUGGCUCUCUCUUCCGUUGACAGGGCUGAUGCCACAGGAGGCGCUUGGGAGAAACUCGCUUCCGGAACGGAGAGAAGAUGGUUUUGGCGGAAAAUUUGCUCAUCUGGUACUCUCCCGCUUUUUUGUUUUUAAGCUAUUCGUUUUCCAUAAGCUGCGUUGAUUAGGAGCCCAGACUUGUCGCUCUUUAGUCUUUUUUUUUUUUUUUUAAUUUUUUUUUUUCUUCAACGUUUAUUUAUUUUUGGGACAGAGAGAGACAGAGCAUGAACGGGGGAGGGGCAGAGAGAGAGGGAGACACAGAAUCGGAAACAGGCUCCAGGCUCUGAGCAGUCAGCACAGAGCCCGACGCGGGGCUCGAACUCACGGACCGCGAGAUCGUGACCUGGCUGAAGUCGGACGCUUAACCGACUGCGCCACCCAGGCGCCCCUCUUUAGUCUUAAGUAGAAAGAUAGUAGUGAAACUUAGGAAGUUAUCCUUUAAAUUGCUUCUCAGUGGGAAAGCUCCUCUGAAAUAACUUGGAUCCUCACCAGCCGGAGUUGAGGAAAAGCGUUAUGGAGGAAAACGCUCGUUUACUAGUGUGGCGUGGGGAUCGUUCCUUCAUGGAGAGGAAGUGGUCGUUUGUAAUGAAACUGCAUUGCUAACUUUGACUUUUCUAAAUUGGAGAGCCCUACCCACUCUCUGCACCUCACUUUCUGCAGUAGAAUCCCUAAAAAUCUCACCGGUUUCUUGAAAUCAAGAUAUCGUUUUAUCAGACGUGUCUGGUGUAAACACCACCUCUGUUUGCUCUCGCCUCAGCGCGGGGGUUGGGGGGGGAACAAACGCUUUCCUACACGCUGUUCCACAGCCUUCUGUACAGAGAGCAGGCCUCUGUGGGCAUGCGGUCAUCGUCUAAACUUUUGUUACACGUUCCUCCGCAAGAGUACUCUGUUUUCGUGUAAAAUGACAGUUGCUAAUUUUGAAAAUGGGGUCUUCGCUCGGCGAGAAGUAUUUUCUAAACAAAUAAGCCUAUCUCUUAAAACGCCCCCUGCUCCACUGUGCCCAGUCCCUUCCCUCUUCCUUGCAGCCCGGCAGUGCCCCCUGAGCUCCCGAACCCCCUUCCGGCUCCUGCAGUGCGCCUCGACAGACCGGCUGGCUAACUGCAGGCUGGGGGGCGGGGGCAGCUGUGUCCCCCCCCCCCCCCCCACUCUGCCCUCCUCACGAGUCAUAAGGCCUCUGCUGUGGUGCCCUGGGUGAACCUCCUCCCCUGUUGCCUCGGAACAGGGCCCCUCCAGGACGUCCCAGGACUCCGAGGUCCCUCCGGCGUGGGAGCGUGCUGGCCCCGGAGCCCUGCAGCCGCCUCUCACGUCCACGCCCGAAGGGAAGAGGCCUGCACAGGCGGCCGGGAAAGAGGUCAAGGAGCCUAAGAAGGUAGCACACGGCGCACCUCCGGCGGGGCGGGGGCUCCCACAGGCCCUUCCUCACGCCCCGGCGCUGGGGGCCGGGCCCCAGGCCACCGUUCUUUCGUCACUUGGGCCGCACGGUUUGGGAAGUGUCCUAGGGGCGUGUGAAACGUGAAGCUUCGUGAACGUUCGUGCAUCUGUGUCCCCAAACGGGCACGGCCCGAGUGCGGUUGGAGCAGCGCAGCCCUCCCAGAGGCCCCCUGUGUUCACGGCCUGUCACAGCCCAGCCCCCAAGGGUGGCCUCUUCUGACUUCUGUCACCAUUGGCUGGUGUCUCCUGUUCUGGGACUUCUUACAAAGGAGACUGAUGUUUAAACACCCUUGUGUGGGAACAUCGAGGGAGGGUCCGCAGAUGCUACAAUUGUAUUUAUCUUUCGUCCUGGGUAAUGAACACAGACAGGCUGGUUAUGGAAAAGCCACACGAGCGGUUCUGGUCUGUCUGCCGUUGGCGAAAGUGCUCAUUUCUCUUGGGGGUCCAGCCUGGGAAGGGGCCGCCGGGCAGCUUGGCCCGGGUGACCCUUCCCGCAGCACAGCCAGGGAGGUGGCGCUCCUUCCGCGCGCCGGGCCGUCCCGCCCACCGAAGCCUCUGCCGGGCUCCGUGCUGCCCCCUGGUGCUUUCAGUUCGCGUCCCUGGGGGGCAAGGGUGCUGAGCACCUUCUUCACACGCCCGUUACUACCUCCGUCGUCGGCUUCGUGGUGCUGGCCUGUGUCUUCUCCUGCUUUUAAUCGGGUCCUUUUCCACCGUGGCCACCAGUCCCCUGUUAGAUGCACGUGCCCCACGUCCUCUUCUACACUGUGGGUCGGGUCCUUACGCUUCGUGUUAGUUAGCUCAUGAGGAACGUGUUCUUUUCUCUUUUUUAAAGUAAUCACACCCACCGUGGGGCUCGAACUCACAGCUCUGAGACCAAGAGACCGAGAGUCAUGCGCUCCACCAACUGACCCAGCCAAGUGCCCUUCCCCGCCUUUUUUUAAGUAGAUUAUCGCUUCUUAAUAUGGUUCAGUUUAUCGGUUUUUUUAAAUGGCUGGUAUUUUACUGAAACACAAGUGUGAUCCAGAGUGUGCCGGAACCGUGAGCUGGGACGUGAUGCUUCAGCGAGGCGGGAGCGUGCAGACCCGUGUCGCCCAGAGCGACGGGUUUGAGAGCACACACAGCCGCUGCGGCUCCUUCCCUGUUUGCUUGUUCUAGAAGAAGCGAAGUACGGUACGCGAGGAGUGAAGUCAGCGUUCCUGACACCUAAAUUCUCUCAGGGCGAGACAUGGGGGACUGUUUUGAGGGGGUCCAACGAGGACUUUCCCAGCCUUCUUGCCACUGCUCAGUCAGGGAGGGAAGAUGCCAGAGGCUGCCAUCAGUUGGCAUUAGACAGGAAAAGUUCCAAAAGGCAGAUUGUUCAGGUUUUUAAAUUGUGGUAAGAUACACGCAGUGUAAAAGUGACCACUUUAACCCUGUUUUGAGGGCAUAGUUUGGGGCCGUCAGGCUCAUUCACGCUGUUGUGCCGCCGCCCCCCCCCCCCCCCCCAUCCGUCCCCAACGUGUCCGUCUUUCCAGACUGCACUCUGUCCCAUUGCACACGGCUCCCCCCCCUCCCCCCCCGCCCUUGUCCGCGGAUCCGACUCUGCUCGGACCUCCUGUGACUGGACCCUUCAGGACUGGGCCUUCCGUGUGGGGCUCCCCUCACCCAGCACCACGUCCUCCAGGGUGUUGUGGUUGUUUCUGUAUUUAGAGCAGCGAGUCCUGGUUAUUUCGUUGGCUGCCCGGGAAGAAAAGGACGGAGGCUUAUCUGCCCGACGACAAGAACAAGUCGGUGAGUGCUGUAGGACGUGGGGCCGGCGGGGCCUGUGGCUUCACGUGACGUGGCCGGCGGUGGUUCGCACAGUGCUCCCCGGCUACGGGCACAGCUGGGUGGGCGUCUCCUGAGUGUGCAGCGUCACACGGGGCCGCGCUCCAGGUCUGUUCCGCUGAGUCUCCGGACUUCUCUCUUUAUUUUCAUGACGGUGGCAGAUCGUCUGGGAUGAAAAGAAAAACCGAUGGGUAGAUGUAAAUGAGCCAGAGGAGGAGGUGAGUUGGAAUUCCUAGCGUCUGCUUGGCGGGAGGAGUGCUCCCUGCCACGUGGCCGUGGGCGCCUGCGAGGCCCCCGUCCGCGCCCGGUGGCCGCGGGUCCAUGGGCAGGUCUCUGAAGCGUCUUUCCCUCUGCAGAAGAAGGCUCCGCCCCCACCACCAACCUCCCUCCCCAAGGCUGCACAGGCUGGGCCCCCUGGUCCCGGCGGACCCCCGAGAGCCUCCGUGAACAUGUUUUCCAGGAAAGCAGGUAACAGUCGAGGCAGAAAUUAGACUCGGAGAACUCGUCUGUGGUACGGGCUCAGGAGAGUUGAGGGGAGGUGGUGGAGUGCGCAGGAGGGACGGCAGCGUCACGGGGUGACCCCGCAGAGAGAGACGCCCGUCUCGGGAGCACGAGGGCCCCCGCUCAGAGGCGGCGCGGCGCUGGCGGCUUCGGGGUGUGUGCGAGACGGGGGGCGUCGCCCCUGGGGAAGCCAGCCCUGUGCCACGUGGGGAGCCGCGACCGGGGGGGGGGGGGGGGGGGGGGGGGGGGGCGGGGGAGCGGGGCCCUGCGGCGCGCUGACCUGGAUUUGCCUCUCGCCCUGACGCAGCCGGAGCCCGAGCGCGCUACGUGGACGUCUUAAACCCGGGGGGCCCCCAGCGGAGUGAACCGGCUCUCGCCCCGGCGGAGUUUUUUGCUCCUCUGGCCCCGAUGCCGAUUCCCACCCACUUGUUCGGACCAAACGCAGGUAGGGGGGAUGGGACCUCCUGACCUGUGACCUCCUUUCUGAGAGCCCCCGGCCCUCACCUCCCUUUAAGAAAAAUGACCCGGCUGACGUGCGGGGAGCCUGCGGUCCAUCCGUGUUUGUUCACGGAUACCGUUCCGGGUCCCCCACAAGUGCACUGCGGGAAACCUUUCCCCUGGAGACUGUUCUAAAUGAAACCCCGACGGUGUUGCGGAUGGACUGACAGCCUCCCGCACUGUCCCCUUCACAGAUGCGGAGGAGGCCCCACCCGCAGAGGGGGCCGGCAGGGAAGGGCGUGCGCCUGCGGGGGGGGCCGUCAAUCCAGAGCCUGCCUCAGAGCCCCAGGUGAGCCCCCCGCGUGAGCCCCCAGGCGAGUGGUGCCGCGGGGACGGGCGGCGGGGGCAGGGAGGACUUGGCCCGUGCCGCUGCCUGGGAAGGUCGGCCUGCUGUUUGCAUCAUUCCCAUCAUGCACCCAGAGAAGACAGUUUCCACGGAAGUCUCUCCCCUGAGCGCCUCUAGAGAUGGAGAUCGUAACCAUGUGGUGCACGUGGUAUGGUGGCCUUGGCUUCCUGAACCCACAGUCAUAAAGAGACUGUUUUUUUAAAUUUUUACAACUUGCACGUGAAAUAGGAUGGUUGGAGGUGGACAGAGUGGGUUUCAACCCUGGUUCCCUGUUAAUUAGCUACUUAGCAUUUAUUUUUAAAAGAGAAAUUGAAAAAACAGGUUUUUUUUCUAAUGUUUGUUCAGUUUUGAGAGACAGAGUGUGAGCAGGGGAGGGAUAGAGAGAGGGAGACACAGAAUCCAAAGAGGCUCCAGGCUCUGAGCUGUCAGCACGGAGCCCGACGCGGGUCUGGAACCCACGAACCGCAAGAUCGUGACCUGAGCCGAAGUCGGACACUUCACCGACUGAGCCACCCGGGCGCCCCAGCUACUUAACGUUUAAAGGAUCACGUGACAUCUCAAAGCCUCUGUUUCCUGUUCUAUGAAACGGAGUAACGAGGGCGCUUGCACACGAGGCCAUCAAGGGGCCCACGGCCCGAGUUCCCCAGAGAUAGGCUGUCGUGGGACCCGCAGCCGCUCGGAGGGGCGCUUACUCGGAGUGGAGCUGCGUGGGCCGGGGCCAGAGGGGGGUGUCGCGUCGGUCUGCCCCGUGUGAGGGCUUCACGGGAGUGAUGGCCACUGCGUUUCUUCUUUCCUGACAGGUGUUAGGUUUGCCAGCGUCGCUCCCCGGCCCUGAGCUCCCACCCGCCCACGAGGACGGUUCCAAGGGAGGAGAGGUAAGCCGCUCCCACGGGACGUACCUGCCCAGACACUGGGCUGGGGACAUCGCCCACUUGUACCGUCCAAGCGGCUUCUUCUUUAAAUGAGGAUGUUGACGAGUAGGAAGAGGCAAUCUAGCAGCUCUCUGGAACUUUAAAAGUGUUGUGGUCCCACAGCACAAGCAGCGACCCUUACGUCUGCAGGUUGUGUGGGAGCCGCGUGCAGAGCAGGGUGUGAGCGCACACGCCCCGGGCUCCCCUCACUCGGCACAGCAGCGCCGCGCUCACGCUUCUCUGGCAGCACGAGGGCAGGCCCCCUCGCCCCCAGCUGAUGCUUUUCCUUCCAAACGUGUUUUUCGUGUUUCUUGUUUAUUUUUGAGGGAGAGAGAGUGCGCAGACGGGGGGCAGAGAGGGAAACACGAUCCGAAGCGGGCUCCGGACUCCGAGCCGUCGGCACGGGGCCCGACGCGGGGCUCGAACCCACGAGCUGUGAGAUCGCGACCCGAGCCGAAGUCGGACGCUCAGCCGGCCGAGCCGCCCAGGUGCCCCCGUCUUAAUAAAAGCUGUACAUGGGGCGCCUGGGUGGCGCAGUCGGUUAAGCGUCCGACUUCAGCUCAGGUCACGAUCUCGCGGUCUGUGGGUUCGAGCCCCGCGUCGGGCUCUGGGCUGAUGGCUCGGAGCCUGGAGCCUGUUUCCGAUUCUGUGUCUCCCUCUCUCUCUGCCCCUCCCCUGUUCAUGCUCUGUCUCUCUCUGUCCCAAAAAUAAAUAAACGUUGAAAAAAAAAAAAAAAAUUUUUAAAAAAAUAAAAGCUGUACGUUAGGGGCGCCUGGCUGGCUCAGUCGGUUAAACGGCCGACUCUUGAUUUUGGUUCGGGUCACGAUCUCACGGUUCGGGAGUCCCGGCCCCGUGUCGGGCCCUGCGCCGACAGAGCCUGCUUGAGAUUCUCUCUCCGGCGGCCUCCGCCCCUCCCUGCGCUCUCUCUCUCUCUCUCAAAACCAGCAAAUAAACGUAAACGUUUUUUUAGUUAAAAAAACCCAACUGUCCCUCACAGCAGGAGUUUUAAACUAACUCUGGUGUCUCGCCCCCUUGGCCCGCGUCGAUUGUCACGGCAUCACAAGGCUCCGCGGGUGGAACUGGCCGCGUGGAGCAGGCGCGUGUCGAUUUCUCAUCUGUCCGUGUUGUGUGUGUUCUUGCUGUUUCGCAGCUUUCACGCUGUAGUUCACUGAGUUCAUUAUCGCGUGAAGUGAGCCAGCAUUUUUAUCAGGUACCUGUGGCUGGCAGUUCUCACUGAACACGAGUUGAACUGGGUCGCCUCCGCGGUUCCCUUAAGAGCGCUGUGCCGGCCUGCGUCGUGCCCCCGUCACUAACGCAGCCCGCCGCCUCCCCGCCCGCCGCGCGCCACAGGAUGCAGUGUUCCUUCCUUCCAGUGUCCUCGGGGGCGGUCUCGGGCCAUCCGCCUACACUGGCGACCGAGUCGACCCCAAAACGUUCCUAGGGGACGGAUGACUUUUGUGAUCUCGUUCUUUCCGGAUCGGUUUUUCCAAACGGCCGGCCGCAGGUGUAGCCUCACCGCGUGUGAGGGUGUUUCGGAAGCCCGCCUGGGUCCGGAGAAUUUUUGGUUUCUGGUCAAGCGCGGGACGUUUCUGGGCGGCCGGGCAGAGUGAGGCAGCGAGGCUGUCCUCGGCCGGGCGGGCUGGGACACGGGAAUACUUAAUCUUGUGUGUGGAUCGCACGACGGAGCUUUCCGGUUGCCUCGACGAAGGCUUCGUGUGACUUUAUUUGCUUAUUAAAACACUGGAUUCUGUAGCUGGACACUGGAGGUCUGAAGUGGUCAGAAACAUCUACUAACUGCUUCAAGGUGCCACUCCCGGGGGCCCCCCGGGGCCGGGCGCUCCCCGCUGCCGCAUGUUCUGCCUCGGAAGCAUCUCGCGCUGCAUGCCGCUCUAAUUUUUACGUGCGUUCUGUGAACCACUCGGUAACGCAGUCCAGUGUCACGAUAAGCGUCUUCGACUUGCUUCUGUGGCUUUCUUAGAAGUACUGUGAGCGGUCACCCAGCAGUGGCGUCUGUCCACAAGGGAGCGCACACCGCUGUGUGACAUUGCCGCGUUGAGAUGAACUCUCUGUGCUUCUCAGGCUCCCAGUGACCACCCCGCAGCAGGGGGCGCCUCCGGGGCAGCCGUGCCCUUCUACAGCCCUGCUCACUUUGCACAGGUAAGUGCCCUGCUGUCUCCUGGGGCACAGGGAUCCCCAGCCCGGCGCCCCGCUGUGUCCGCCGACCCUUCUCUCGUCCCUGCCGCUGCUCCUGGCGUGAACGCCCCCACCGUGCUGGGGCCUGCGGUCUCCCGCCGGGUCUCCCGCCGCCACACCUCACCGUGGGUCUCACUCCCUCCGCCAGGCCGGCCUUGGCCACCCUUCACCUGGCAGCCCACGGCCCGCAGUUGGGGAAUGCUCUUGAAUGUUUCUUUCUAUUUCUGUCUCUCUGCCUUCUCGCUCCUCCUUUUCCAGUCUCUUGCCCGUAGGGUGCAGCCCGGCUGCCAGCUGGGGGGGAGCUGAGCAGGGAGGGGCCGGGGCCGUGUCUCGACGUUCAGAGUAUAAAGCCUCCCACGACCCUGGUCGCCCUCACCGCCUGGGGUGGCCGGGCCUGUUCACUGUCAGCCGGGCGCUCGGCCAGCCUGCCACUCUCUGCUUCGACGUGCCCGCAGACGAGGCCGCCUCUCGGCCUCCUGCCCUGACCUCCAGGACUCCCGUGUCCCAGGUUACCACCUGGCCGUGCGUCUGCUUUUCCGUUUCAAGAUCUGGUGGCGGUUUUCCUCUCGUUCCCUCCGUCUCGCAGUGUGCGCUUUACAAGAGUUUAUCGAUGGCUCACUUCAGCGCGAGUAAAUGCCUGCGCUCCGUCCGCUGUCUGUCCCUGGGCGCUCCCCGCAACGCUGCAGUCGCGGGCUGGGCCGCCACCCUCCCCGGGUGCUCUGCCGCGGGGGCCAGCCUCCCUUCUCACCACCUGACGAAACUGCGGACCCCUUCAAAGCGGACGUCUAGGCCUGGUCCCCACUUGGCCAGUCGUCGGGGCUUCCGGAGAACACGCAGCCUGCCUGUUCUGUCGGUGGAAAUGGUCCCGCAGACCCAUCUCCCCGGCGCUGCCGGGGCGCCCCCGGCCUCGGAGGCUGGCGGGUGGAAGUCCGCACUCUUCCUUGUCUUUCCAGGCCUCUGCCGCCUCGGGGGGCUCCAGGAUGGGGAGGAUCGGCCAGAGGAAGUACCCGGCGUUGAGCUAGAAGGGUCCCCGUCCUGCAGUGGCAUCUGGAACCCUCAAAUUCUCCUCCACCGCCAACUCGGACGGAUCGAUGGCCCGCACCUCCCUUCCGUUCCCGCCCGGAUGGGGACGCCAGUGACUCCACGCGGUCGUGUUCGGACUCCUUCACGGCCCGUCUCCGCAGCGUUGCCGGGGCUGGGUCCGCGGCCCCUCUGCCGUGCUGGGGGAAGCGAGGGGAGCUUUGGCUCCGUCUCUAGCCGACGGUGACCCGAGGGUAAAACGCUCUUAGUCGUUCGGGAGCGGUGCGCCGAGGGAGGCCGGAGCCAUCUUUGCUGCGUGAAAAAACUCAGCCCUUCGGUAACUGGGGUGUCUCGGAAAACCUAACCGUGCUUUACUGCUGCGUCGGGCCCCCCUGGGCCCUGGAGGGCGCCCUGGGGCCUGGCACCGCAUCACGGGCUUCAAGGAAACGUGGACUCAGCUGAGUUUUCCAGGGAGGCCCUGGUCGCCCAAGUGCAUUUGAGUCUGGCGGCAAAGAUGUUCCCAGCUUCGCUUCCUUCUCUGUCCGGGAGGGAGGCUCUGCUCUCCACUCCCCUGGCCGGGCCGUGUUCCACGUGGGACCCGCCCCCCUAACCCACCAGUGCUAAAAACUGGCUGUGACGAAUUCCAUUCGGGUUUUCUUAGUAUGUGAGUAGCCUGGUUAGACUCGUCCCCAGAGAAACUUCUGGACUGCCACGCCCUUUGUAAAAUAGUCGAUGUACUUCCUCACGACUGGUCCUCAGGGCGCAGAGUUGACACGCGCCCUGACUCUGAGGCUGCUGCCUCCGCUUUUCCCACACCGGGAUCUUCAGUGGGUGGGGGGCUGAACCCACAGAGGGAGGCCCCGCCCCCUGGACUCAAAGCUUUAAGGCUUCAUCGACUGUUCUUAGAAUUAUUCACGUUCUUGUUAAGUCUGAAGAGACCGCAGAAAAACAUUAAAUAUUUAUAAGAAUCAUUAGGAAAUAAUUUCUGUAGGUUCUGCUGGGGACAUAGUUGGGUGUCGUGAAUCUCAGUGCAGAAAGGGCGUAAAUGAGUUAGCACGGGCCUCGGUUUCCCUCGCGGCUCACUGGGUCAUGGAGGAAGGGCGCGGAGUGUUUUCCCGUGCGUCACCCAGGGCACGCCCCGAUGCGUUGGUUCUGGUCACUUGGAGAGAGGUGGGGCGUGGCACCCGGGGCAGUGGGGGGGCCCUGGGACCCGAGACCUCCCUGGCGCCCUCGGUCUGGCCUGCCCACCCGACCGUUCCCUGCGCGGGCUGCCGGCGACUUUUGAUUCAAGAAGCUCCCUCCCAGGCCAGGCGGGAGCUGCUAUUUUUACUAAAUGCAAAUUGGUAAAUAAAGUAUUUUGCGC